rnacentral:rRNA from 1 species
CGGACUGGAGUCUGNAACCCGACUCCACGAAGUUGGAUUCGCUAGUAAUCGCGCAUCAGCCAUGGCGCGGUGAAUACGUUCCCGGGCCUUGUACACACCGCCCGUCAAGCCAUGGGAGCCGGGGGCGCCUGAAGUCCGGGACCGCGAGGACCGGCCUAGGGCGAAACUGGUAACUGGGGCUAAGUCGUAACAAGGUAUC